rnacentral:rRNA from 1 species
GUCGAGGAUCUUUGUCAAUGGGCGCAAGCCUGAACAAGCGACGCCGCGUGAGCGAUGAAGGCCUUCGGGUCGUAAAGCUCUUUCAGCAGGGAAGAAUAAAUUGACGGUACCUGCAGAAGAAGCCCCGGCUAAUUACGUGCCAGCAGCCGCGGUAAUACGUAAGGGGCGAGCGUUGUUCGGAUUUACUGGGCGUAAAGGGUGCCUAGGCGGCAUGUUAAGUCGGAAGUGAAAUCCCUCGGUCUAACUGGGGAACUGCUUUCGAAACUGGCGUGCUUGAGUACGGGAGAGGAGAGCGGAAUUCUCGGUGUAGCGGUGGAAUGCGUAGAUAUCGAGAAGAACAUUCGUGGCGAAGGCGGCUCUCUGGAACGAUACUGACGCUGAAGCACGAAAGCCAGGGGAGCAAACGGGAUUAGAUACCCCGGUAGUCC